GACGAACGCUGGCGGCGUGCUUAACACAUGCAAGUCGAACGGAAAGGCCCUGCUUUUGUGGGGUGCUCGAGUGGCGAACGGGUGAGUAACACGUGAGUAACCUGCCCUUGACUUUGGGAUAACUUCAGGAAACUGGGGCUAAUACCGGAUAGGAGCUCCUGCUGCAUGGUGGGGGUUGGAAAGUUUCGGCGGUUGGGGAUGGACUCGCGGCUUAUCAGCUUGUUGGUGGGGUAGUGGCUUACCAAGGCUUUGACGGGUAGCCGGCCUGAGAGGGUGACCGGCCACAUUGGGACUGGGAUACGGCCAGGACUCCUACGGGGGGCAGCGGUGGGGAAUAUUGCACAAUGGGCGGAGGCUGGAUGCAGAAACGCCGGGUGCGGAAGGACGGCCUUCGGGUUGUAAACGGCUUUCGCCUGUGACGAGGCGUGAGUGACGGUAAUGGGUAAAGAAGCACCGGCUAACUACGU
rnacentral:rRNA from 1 species